CUGAUUCCUCCUUUCUGAAGAACUGUAAUGUCAUUAAUUUGGUGUUGCAGGGAAACAGGACUGUUACUUUGAAAAAAUUAGAGUGUUUAAAGCAGGCUAACGCUUGAAUACAUUAGCAUGGAAUAAUGAAAUAGGACGUUCGAUCCUAUCUUGUUGGUUUCUAGGAUUGACGUAAUGAUUAAUAGGGAUAGUUGGGGGCAUUAGUAUUCAAUUGUCAGAGGUGAAAUUCUUGGAUUUAUUGAAGACUAACUACUGCGAAAGCAUUUGCCAAGGAUGUUUUCAUUAAUCAAGAACGAAAGUUAGGGGAUCGAAGACGAUCAGAUACCGUCGUAGUCUUAACCAUAAACUAUGCCGACUAGGGAUCGGAUGAUGUUAAUUUUUUAAUGACUCAUUCGCGCGC
rnacentral:rRNA from 1 species